AAAAAUGUUGGUUUUAAAAUGUUGAUUUUUUUUUUUAAUCUCUAGUCUGUGAUAUACCACUGUAUUUUUAUGGAAAGGACAUUGUAAAGUAAAAGAUUUUGAGGUGACUUUGCUAAAGUUUGAAAAUGGGUUUAAUACCUUUUCCUGGCCUUCCUUCAUUGACCAUCAGUUGAGCCCUGGAGAUGCUUCUACUGUCAGAGACCUACAUCAGGGAAAUGUUUCCCCCUUUGAUUUUGUGAGGCAGAAAAUGACGAGGUAGGCAGUGGUUUAUGUGAGGACAACACUGCUGAAGGCAGCAGAUGGAGGCAAAAAUGCAAUAAAAAUCCUG
rnacentral:lncRNA from 13 species